AUUCCAGCUCCAAUAGCGUAUAUUAAAGUUGUUGCGGUAAAAAAGCUCGUAGUUGGAUUUCUGUUGAAGACGUCCGGUCCAUACCACGUAUGCGCAUCUGGCUCGGCUUCGGCAUCCUCUCGAAAGACGUUUCUGCGCUUGAUUGCGUGGAGCGGAUCUCGGGACUUUUACUUUGAGGAAAUUAGAGUGUUCACGGCAGGCUAUCGCCAGAAUACAUUAGCAUGGAAUAAUACUAUAGGAUCUCGGUUCUAUUUUGUUGGUUUCUAGAAUUGAGAUAAUGAUUAAUAGGGACAAUUGGGGCAUUCGUAUCAACACGUUAGAGGUGAAAUUCUUGGAUCGUGUUGCGACGAACUACUGCGAAAGCAUUUGCCAAGGAUGUUUUCAUUGAUCAAGAACGAAAGUAAGGGGAUCGAAGACGAUUAGAUACCGUCGUAGUCUUUACCAUAAACUAUGCCAACUAGAGAUGGGACAUCGUUCACUUAAGACUUGUUCCGCACCUUAUGAGAUAUCAAAGUCUUUGGGUUCCGGGGGGAGUAUGGUCGCAAGUCUGAAACUUAAAGGAAUUGACGGAAGGGCACCACCAGGAGUGGAGCCUGCGGCUUAAUUUGACUCAACACGGGGAAACUCACCAGGUCCAGACAUAAUAAGGAUUGACAGAUUGAUAGCUCUUUCUUGAUUUUAUGGGUGGUGGUGCAUGGCCGUUCUUAGUUCGUGGAGUGAUUUGUCUGCUUAAUUGCGUUAACGAACGAGACCUUAACCUGCUAAAUAGGAGCGCCUAUCUCCGGAUAAGCGCCUUUCUUCUUAGAGGGACUUUAUGCGUUUCAGCAUGAGGAAGUUUGAGGCUAAA
rnacentral:rRNA from 1 species